rnacentral:rRNA from 1 species
UACGGAGGGUGCAAGCGUUAUCCGGAUUCACUGGGUUUAAAGGGUGCGUAGGUGGGCUGAUAAGUCAGCGGUGAAAUCUCCGGGCUUAACCUGGAAACUGCCAUUGAUACUAUCGGUCUUGAAUAUCGCGUAGGUAAGCGGAAUAUGUCAUGUAGCGGUGAAAUGCUUAGAUAUGACAUAGAACACCAAUUGCGAAGGCAGCUUACUUCACGAUUAUUGACACUGAGGCACGAAAGCGUGGGGAGCAAACAGG